rnacentral:rRNA from 1 species
GCGUUCCUCAGUCCCCCAGGAUGUAUCCAACGGAAAGCUAUAACACAGCCGAGACUGCUACCUUCAAACCGUCAUUAUCCACCCCGGAAAACUGAUGCUGGCCUGCAAACCGAAGCAAGCUCCGGCAAGCAAGUCUGACUUCAAGCGUUUCCCUUCCAACAAUUUCACGUACUGUUAACUCUCUUUCCAAAGUGCUUUUCAUCUUUCCCUCACGGUACUUGUUCGCUAUCGGUCUCUCGCCAAUAUUUAGCUUUAGAUGGAAUUUACCACCCAAUUUGAGCUGCAUUCCCAAACAACUCGACUCAUUGAAAGUGUAUCACAAAGCGCUGGGCGUCCGCACCAUAUACGGGGGUUUCACCACUAUGCCGCUGUAUUCCAACAGACUUGUGUGCGGUCCAACGCGGAAAACACUUCUAGAGAUUACAACUCGGACACCGAAGGUGCCAGAUUAUAAAUUUGAGCUCUUCCCG